rnacentral:rRNA from 1 species
CUUGACAGAUCCCUUCGGGGUGAAGAUAAGAUGGAUUAGCGGCGGACGGGUGAGUAACACGUGAGUAACCUGCCUUAGACAUUGGGAUAGCCUCGGGAAACCGGGAUUAAUACCAAAUAAAAUCAUAGGUGCCCAUGCACUAAUGAUCAAAACUCCGGUGGUCUAAGAUGGACUCGCGUCCCAUUAGCUAGUUGGUGAGGUAACGGCCCACCAAGGCGACGAUGGGUAGCCGGCCUGAGAGGGUGAACGGCCACAUUGGAACUGAGAAACGGUCCAAACUCCUACGGGAGGCAGCAGUGGGGAAUAUUGCACAAUGGAGGGAACUCUGAUGCAGCGACGCCGCGUGAACGAUGAAGGCUUUCGAGUCGUAAAGUUCUUUUAUAUGGGAAGAUAAUGACGGUACCAUAAGAAAAAGCCCCGGCUAACUACGUGCCAGCAGCCGCGGUAAUACGUAGGGGCUAGCGUUGUCCGGAAUCACUGGGCGUAAAGGGUUCGCAGGCGGAAAUGCAAGUCAGAUGUAAAAGGCAGUAGCUUAACUACUGUAAGCAUUUGAAACUGCAUAUCUUGAGAAGAGUAGAGGUAAGUGGAAUUUCUUAGUGUAGCGGUGAAAUGCGUAGAUAUUAAAAAGAAUACCGGUGGCGAAGGCGACUUACUGGGCUCAUUCUGACGCUGAGGAACGAAAGCGUGGGUAGCAUACAGGAUUAGAUACCCUGGUAGUCCACGCUGUGAAACGAUGAGUGCUAGUAUCGGAAUAUUCGGUGCCGCAGUUAACACAUUAAGCACUCCGCCUGG